CCUUUUUUCCAGUAGAGGCGUGGAUGAAGUGACAGAAAAUCAAAACCUUCGUGUGUAUUUUUGUCCAAAAACUUGGAAAAUUCCAACCAAAACAAAGCAGCACUUUACCCAAGAGCCAUUUUUGUCAAUGAAGCGCUCUGUGAAAAACCAAACUAAAACCAGCCCUGGUCCACAAAGCUAAACUGGCUGCACCGCAUCCACAAAGUGCUGUGGGAGAAGCUACCCCAGCCCUCGCCCACCACCCCUAUACCCGGGGCUGUUGUCCUCUGCUGAGAGACCCCACCACAGGCUCUGCUGGCCUCCUCCCAGGUAUCUGGGUGGUAGCUCCACUUCUUCCAUGUCUUCAAGGCUGGAGAAAGUCGUAGUUGCGGCUAAUGCAGUGCCCAAGCACAGUGAGCUAAGUGGUGCUGUGCUCGGGAGGAUGAUCCAAGCAGGCAGAUGUUCCCGGGAAGUGAAGGGUGUGGAAAGAGAAUUUCUGCAGCACGUCAGUGGAAAAAGGAUUAAAAUCAAAAGAAGAAAAUGAAGGCCAAGUGUCUUAAGCAAUGGUGCUUCCUGCAGAGCCAAACAGUGAGGGCAACCACCCCUGGGAAUUGAUGAUGUAGAAGUGCUCUCCUACCGGAGGAGGAAGCAAGGAAGUGGGAGGAAGCAAGUCAGCAAGGAAGGCCAAUGCUUCUGAGUAGCUUGACCCACAUCCCAUUGAAGUCUGCACUUUAUUAUUAGAAUCAUUAUUAUUUGCAUUGUGGUAGCAUCAAGUGGCCCCAACUGGAAGAGAGCCUCAUUGUACUAGGCACUAAACAAACACAGAAUAAGCGACACUCCCUUCCCCAUGGGAUUUGCUGGCAAAGAAGACACACAGAGGGCUGCAGAGGACAGGAAAUUAUCAUUUACUGGCAUUCACUGAGGGCUUAUUUUGGUACUGAAGUGUCAAAAUCAAGCAUUCAAAAGGUGAUGAAGUCGAGUGCUCAAAAGGUUGCCACAGCUUCCAGCUCCUCUCCAUGUGUAGUGCACAAGGCCAUUGGACCCACACUGCCUGCAGCACCCAUGAGCUGCAGUGGCAAAGCCAGCUCUGAUGAGUGCUGGGCUAAUACCUGCUCUGCCAGAUGAGGCCACCACGGACCACAGCUCUGGUUUCUUCUGCACCGUUCCUACCUCUCACAAGUUUGCUGCAAACCUUGCACAGGUGAUGCUUCUUAAAGCCCUUAACUCCCAUAUAAUUGCAUCAGAACCUCAGCCUUGGUUUCCUUUCAUCUCAUCCUUUAUGUGGGCCAAGACAAGGGCCUGGGCCUUCUUUCAGUGUGGAGGGAGCGAUGGUAAAGUCUGGCAGCCCACGUGUGUGCAGCAGGAAAGAGAAACUGGAAAUUUACCUGGAUGCCUCCCUGAGUCAGCCAAACCCGAAGCAUCUCCACAACACACCUAGAUCUGAACCCAUUGA